UACGGGGGGGGCAAGCGUUGUUCGGAAUUACUGGGCGUAAAGGGCUCGUAGGCGGCCAACUAAGUCAUACGUGAAAUCCCUCGGCUUAACCGGGGAACUGCGUCUGAUACUGGAUGGCUUGAGUUCGGGAGAGGGAUGCGGAAUUCCAGGUGUAGCGGUGAAAUGCGUAGAUAUCUGGAGGAACACCGGUGGCGAAGGCGGCGUUCUGGACUGUUUCUGACACUGUAAAACGAAAGCCAGGGGAGCAAACGGG
rnacentral:rRNA from 1 species